GGCUCUGUAGCUCAGUGUCAGAGCGCUGCUCUCAUGAGGCGGAGGUCGAGGGUUAAAUUCCCUCCAGAGCCA
rnacentral:tRNA from 1 species